GGGGGUAUAUAGCGCCAGUGGUAGAGCAUUUGACUGCAGAUCAAGAGGUCCCAGGUUCAACUUCAGGUGCCCCCU